GUGAACAGCAGAGGAGCUUUUCUGGGGAGAAAAUGUUCCCAGGCUCUUCACACCACACCAGGAAGGAAAGAGCAACCUGGGAAGAGGGCAGCGAUGGGCCACUGUGCUGGAA